rnacentral:rRNA from 1 species
AGAGUUUGAUCAUGGCUCAGGAUGAACGCUAGCGGCAGGCUUAAUACAUGCAAGUCGAGGGGUAAGGCACUUUCGGGUGUACACGACCGGCGGACGGGUGCGUAACGCGUAUGCAACCUACCUUUAACUGGGGGAUAGCCCGAAGAAAUUCGGAUUAACCCCGCAUAACACUGUGAACGGGCAUCUGUUUACAGUUAAAACUCAGGUGGUUAAAGAUGGGCAUGCGUGACAUUAGCUGGUUGGUGGGGUAACGGCUCACCAAGGCGACGAUGUCUAGGGGUUCUGAGAGGAUGAUCCCCCACACUGGUACUGAGACACGGACCAGACUCCUACGGGAGGCAGCAGUAAGGAAUAUUGGUCAAUGGGCGCAAGCCUGAACCAGCCAUGCCGCGUGCAGGAAGACGGCCUUAUGGGUUGUAAACUGCUUUUAUAAAGGGAUAAACCCCCCGAUGUAUCGGGGGUUGAAGGUACUUUAUGAAUAAGCACCGGCUAACUCCGUGCCAGCAGCCGCGGUAAUACGGAGGGUGCGAGCGUUAUCCGGAUUUAUUGGGUUUAAAGGGUGCGCAGGCGGUCUGGUCAGUCAGUGGUGAAACCCCGUGGCUCAACUGCGGAACUGCCAUUGAUACUGCCAGACUUGAAUACGGUUGAGGUAGGCGGAAUGUAGCAUGUAGCGGUGAAAUGCAUAGAUAUGCUACAGAACACCGAUCGCGAAGGCAGCUUACCAAGCCGAUAUUGACGCUCAGGCACGAAAGCGUGGGGAGCGAACAGGAUUAGAUACCCUAGUAGUCC